UACGUAGGGUGCGAGCGUUAAUCGGAAUUACUGGGCGUAAAGCGUGCGCAGGCGGUUCGUUGUGUCGGUGGUGAAAGCCCCGGGCUUAACCUGGGAAUGGCCAUGGAAACUGGCGAACUGGAGUGCGGCAGAGGGGGAUGGAAUUCCGCGUGUAGCAGUGAAAUGCGUAGAUAUGCGGAGGAACACCGAUGGCGAAGGCA
rnacentral:rRNA from 1 species